rnacentral:rRNA from 1 species
GAUCAUGGCUCAGGAUGAACGCUGGCGGCGUGCUUAACACAUGCAAGUCGAGCGAAGCGGUUUAAGUGAAGUUUUCGGAUGGAUCUUGGAUUGACUGAGCGGCGGACGGGUGAGUAACGCGUGAGGAACCUGCCUCAAAGAGGGGGACAACAGUUGGAAACGACUGCUAAUACCGCAUAAGCCCACGGCUCGGCAUCGAGCAGAGGGAAAAGGAGCAAUCCGCUUUGAGAUGG